UACGUAGGGUGCGAGCGUUAAUCGGAAUUACUGGGCGUAAAGCGUGCGCAGGCGGUGAUGUAAGACAGGUGUGAGAUCCCCGGGCUUAACCUGGGAACUGCAUUUGUGACUGCAUCGCUGGAGUGCGGCAGAGGGGGAUGGAAUUCCGCGUGUAGCAGUGAAAUGCGUAGAGAUGUGGAGGAACACCGAUGGCGAAGGCAGCCCCCUGGGCUAACACUGACGCUCAUGCACGAAAGCGUGGGGAGCAAACAGG
rnacentral:rRNA from 1 species